rnacentral:lncRNA from 1 species
CCUCUCACAUGCAAACAGUGUUAGCUAGCAUUCCAGGACCAGAUAUCAAUAAAGGACCCGGCAUUCAGUGUGCUGUGCACCAACUCUCUCAAAGCAUUUGAGGCAAAGAAGAGGAGGAGGUGACAGGCAUGAGAAAGUCUGGAUGAUCAAACCAGCAAGAAAGCCACUUCCAUUCUUUUAUGAAGAGACAUCCUGGAGAGACUUGCUGUACUCAAACAUUCCUGCAAUGGUUUGCCUCCUGGACUGGUCAGAAUGUGGCUGCUCUAUCCUACAUGGGCAAGGGUAAAGAAUAGCCCUGAGAUACUCCAGAAGAGACAGCAUGUGAUCUGGUGGUGGGAUUCAGAGGUCUGAAGUCUCUCUCUUGCUCUGUCAAGCACGUGCUCUUCAGGUUUGGUGCGGACUUGUCUGCUGGAGCUGGACCCUGCAGCUGCCCUGACAGUAUCUGGACCCAAACUGCUCAAGCAGCAAGUCUCCCAGCUCAGGCAGCACCACAAGCCAGUGUCUGCUCAGCUAUAUCCAGCCCUGAAGGAUUGAAGCUCCCAUUGUCUGCCAAGUAUCAAACAUGGAGAACGUGGCCCUGGCAGACGAGGCCACGCAGCAGCUUCAAUGUGUGGGUGCCUCCAAGUCCUUCUCAACAGCAGUCUGAAUUCAGCGGUUCACAAACGCAAAGUUGUGCUAUGGGAAGAUUACUGACGGCUCAUUGACAAGAACUGGAAUAUGCAACCUGCAUACAAGGACGUUUUGAUAUCUUUGUCCUGGUGAAGUGAGGAGUCUGGAAUUAAACUACAUGUAAUACACACCAGGGCAUAGGACAGCACUCAGUCUUGUGUGUUGGUGCUCACCGCACCUUACCAUUUAAAGGAUCUCCCUGCUCAGCACUGUGAAAAGACCCACAUCAGCCUGCUGGGCAGAC